ACGCAUGUAGCUCAGCGGAAGAGCGGCAGGCUUUGCUUCCAGGCGCUGGUUCGAACCCAGUCGGGGGCA
rnacentral:tRNA from 1 species